rnacentral:lncRNA from 1 species
UUUCAAACCCUGGUUUCUCUCUCUGUUUGCUUUCUCUUUCUUCUUUGUGAGACCAACAACAAGAAAUUGAAGCUUUCGGGAAUCAAUCCAAGCCUUCAGUCUUUUCUUAUCGAGCUAAGACAACACAACAAACACACUUGAGCCGUUUUCAGUUUGUUGUUCUUCUCUCAUCGUCUUACAGUCUAGGGUUUUGCUUUGUUCAUCCUCUUUGAUGAACGAAAUGUGGAUUUUGUUGCUGAUUAUUGUGUAAUAUACAUCAUGUUUGCUGAGUCAUUGUUGUUCGGAUUAGAUCUGUUUUGCACUUUAGGGUGUUUUAGAGAGAGAGAGAGAUGACGGGGAUGGUGAUGCUAACAAGAGGAGGAGGAGGCGGUGGUGAAAAUGCAGCUAAGGAAGAACAGAACCAUCCUUCAAAUCCCUUUUUAGAUCUGAUACAGAACCCUAAUAUAUUCUUAAGUAUUCUUUCCAUCUAGGGUUUCAAGAUCUGCAUUUAGGGUUGUGAUGAUGACGGUAGUCAUCAGUUCGGUUCCUACUACCUCCAUCAUCCGCUGAUUUCAUCUUCAUUGAUUUCAUCUUGAUUCUGCCUACCACUUUUUCAAUAUCAGGAAUCAUCAGAAACCCUCAUCUUUCUGUCUGCAACUCCCGCCGGAUUCUUCGUUUUACAGAACCUCAAAUGUCAAUCAGAUUUAGUAGGCUGCAAAUCUAGGUUGCAUAUGGGAAGAUUUGUUGGAUGACACUCGCCCCCUGAUAGUGCAGAAACAUUAACAAAUGCUGGAAGUAAAGAUCCCUUUUAUGGUGAUAAUUCGCCUUCUAUGGACACUUGAGUACCCGUAUGCUAAAAGAAGGUAUAUCAAGUCAUUUGAAACCUUAAUUUCGAAGCUAAGACAUCAAUUAAAGCUCAUCUGAGGAAACGUCAACAACCUGUUCGGGUCACAGAUGGUCAAGAAUAGAAGCUAUGGACAAAACUGACUCGAGACCAUUCUGGAAAAUAUUUUUUGUUUUUUAACAAAUAUUAAUAUUUCUCAUAAUGUUUGUGAUUUUACCAAAUCUCUGAUCGUUGGGAACAUUUACUAAUUUUCGAUCAAAAAAGUUGGGAACAUAUACUGAUCGUCUUCUUCAAGAGAUUACAGAUAUGGCCUCUACGCGUCCCAGUGGAUCUAUAUCCCACAACAAUAAACGGUCAUCAUCUUCUGAACAGAAUAUCUCUCACAGAAGCGUCCAGAGGUCCGAAAAUGUUUGACGCUUGACAAGCUAGGUGGAGGUUUGGAAAGGAAGCGGGUCAAACUAAGCAAAUAAGAAGGAAAAGCGUACUUCGGAUGCGAGGUGAUUGCCAAGAUUGCCCGGAUGAAGAUCAAGCUCGAUGAGGAAUCGAACACGAUAACAUACAAGCUUCCGUGCGACGUUUCGUCGUAUCUUUUAAACGACGAAUUCAAUUACAUUAAGUUGUAUAGUUUUGAAAUGUUGUAACAUGUUGGAAUGUUAGUAUGAAAAGUUUUUGUAAAGUCACAUUUUAGCAUUAAAAUGUGUAUAUAUUUAAUAAAAUCUUGAUUAAAUUAGAAUGAGUGUUACAAGUUGGUAAUCAGAGCCCAAGGUUAAAAGAAUAAAGUGUUCGGUUCGAGGCUUGAUCGCAAAUCCGUUGAAGGACACUCGCAUCUGAAGAUGACGAGAGUUGAAUGAAUUGUGGAUAUGACGGUGGAACGGUCCGAGGUAUGACAAGCUGAGCACACUCAUUGAGGACCUAAAUCGCGUGAUGAUCGCGAACAAAGUUCACGGCAAGAGAAUCCCGUUAGGGCAAGCAUUACCAGUUUGACGCUUGACAAGCUAGGUGGAGGUUUGGAAAGGAAGCGGGUCAAACGAAGCAAAUAAGACGGAAAAGCAUACUUCGGAUGCGAGGUGAUUGCCAAGAGUGCCCGGAUGAAGAUCAAGCUCGAUGAGGAACCGAACACGAUAACAUACAAGCUUCCGCGCGACGUUUCGUCGUAUCUUUUAAACGACGAAUUCAAUUACAUUAAGUUGUAUAGUUUUGAAAUGUUGUAACAUGUUGGAAUGUUAGUAUGAAAAGUUUUUGUAAAGUCACAUUUUAGCAUUAAAAUGUGUAUAUAUUUAAUAAA